GUCUCUGUCUAUGGCUAUGAACAAGCACGAUCCCAUCUGAUCUUGGAAGCUAAGCAGAGUCAGUCCUGGUUAAUACUUGGAUGGGAGACCACCUAUGAAGACCAGGUGCUGUAGGUG
rnacentral:rRNA from 1 species